UCCACGCUGUAAACGAUGUCAACUAGCCGUUGGAGGGGUAAUCCCUUUAGUGGCGCAGCUAACGCAAUAAGUUGACCGCCUGGGGAGUACGGUCGCAAGAUUAAAACUCAAAUGAAUUGACGGGGGCCCGCACAAGCGGUGGAGCAUGUGGUUUAAUUCGACGCAACGCGAAGAACCUUACCUGGUCUUGACAUCCUACGAACUUACUAGAAAUAGUUUGGUGCCUUCGGGAA
rnacentral:rRNA from 1 species